GCCCGCCUAGCUCAAUCGGAUAGAGCGUCAGACUUUUAUGACAUGUCUCUUUCACUUGCCAAAUGUAGAUCUGAAGGCUGCGAGUUCGACCCUCGCGGUGGGCU